AGAGUUUGAUCAUGGCUCAGGAUGAACGCUAGCGGGAGGCCUAACACAUGCAAGUCGAACGGGAAGGGCAGCAAUGCCCCGGGAGUGGCGCACGGGUGAGUAACGCGUAUGCAACCUGCCUUUAACUGAGGGAUAGCCCAUAGAAAUGUGGAUUAAUACCUCAUAGUUCUUUUGUCCUGCAUGGGAUGGAAGAUAAAGCUCCGGCGGUUAAAGAUGGGCAUGCGUGACAUUAGCUAGUUGGUGAGGUAACGGCUCACCAAGGCGACGAUGUCUAGGGGUUCUGAGAGGAUGAUCCCCCACACUGGUACUGAGACACGGACCAGACUCCUACGGGAGGCAGCAGUGAGGAAUAUUGGUCAAUGGGCGCAAGCCUGAACCAGCCAUCCCGCGUGCAGGAUGACGGCCCUAUGGGUUGUAAACUGCUUUUGUACACCAAGAAAACUCCCGACGUGUCGGGAUCUGACGGUAGUGUAUGAAUAAGCAUCGGCUAACUCCGUGCCAGCAGCCGCGGUAAUACGGAGGAUGCAAGCGUUAUCCGGAUUCAUUGGGUUUAAAGGGUGCGUAGGCGGCCUUUUAAGUCAGUGGUGAAAUCCUGCCGCUUAACGGUAGAAUUGCCGUUGAUACUGAAAGGCUUGAGUUCAGUUGAGGUAAGCGGAAUGUGUAGUGUAGCGGUGAAAUGCUUAGAUAUUACACAGAACACCAAUUGCGAAGGCAGCUUACUAAACUGACACUGACGCUGAUGCACGAAAGCGUGGGGAGCGAACAGGAUUAGAUACCCUGUAGUCCACGCCGUAAACGAUGCUCACUCGCUGUUUGCGAUACACGGCAAGCGGCCAAGCGAAAGCAUUAAGUGAACCACCUGGGGAGUACGAUCGCAGGUUGAAACUCAAAUGAAUUGACGG
rnacentral:rRNA from 1 species